rfam:Triticum aestivum genome assembly, contig: Triticum_aestivum_CS42_TGACv1_scaffold_409610_5BL
AUUAUACUUCCUCCGUCCGAAAAAACUUCUCGCUUAAAUGGAUAUAUCUAGUAUCAAGUUAGUGUUAGAUACAUUCAUUUGAGACACAAACUUGGGACAAGUUUUUUCGGACCGGGGGAGUACCAA